rnacentral:tRNA from 1 species
GCCCUUGUAGUUCAAUGGAUAGAACGAGGCUCUUCUAAGGCCUUGAAGUAGGUUCGAUUCCUACCAAGGGCACCA